CAGAGGGUGCAAACGUUGUUCGGAAUUACUGGGCGUAAAGCGCAUGUAGGCGGCCUAGCAGGUCGGAUGUGAAAUCCCUCGGCUCAACCAAGGAAGUGCAUUCGAAACCGCAAGGCUCGAGUCCCGGAGAGGAUGGUGGAAUUCUCGGUGUAGAGGUGAAAUUCGUAGAUAUCGAGAGGAACACCGGCGGCGAAGGCGGCCAUCUGGACGAGGACUGACGCUGAGAUGCGAAAGCGUGGGGAGCAAACAGGAUUAGAUACCCUGGUAGUCCACGCUGUAAACGAUGGGUGCUAGGUGUCACGGGCUUUGACCCCUGUGGUGCCGUAGCUAACGCAUUAAGCACCCCGCCUGGGAAGUACGGUCGCAAGACUA
rnacentral:rRNA from 1 species